GCGGCAGGCUUAACACAUGCAAGUCGAACGGACUACUUCGGUAGUUAGUGGCGAACGGGUGAGUAAUGCCUAGGAAUCUGCCAUUUAGUGGGGGAUAACGUUCCGAAAGGAACGCUAAUACCGCAUACGUCCUACGGGAGAAAGAGGGGGAUCUUCGGACCUCUUGCUAAAUGAUGAGCCUAGGUCAGAUUAGCUAGUUGGUGAGGUAAAGGCUCACCAAGGCGACGAUCUGUAGCGGGUCUGAGAGGAUGAUCCGCCACACUGGAACUGAGACACGGUCCAGACUCCUACGGGAGGCAGCAGUGGGGAAUAUUGGACAAUGGGGGCAACCCUGAUCCAGCCAUGCCGCGUGUGUGAAGAAGGCCUUUUGGUUGUAAAGCACUUUAAGCGAGGAGGAGGGUACUCUAGCUAAUACCUAGAUGUAUCGGACGUUACUCGCAGAAUAAGCACCGGCUAACU
rnacentral:rRNA from 1 species